GACAGUUGCGUAUUGCGUGAAUUCACUCGUGUUGUACGCAAAACCUUUUUUUAUAAUGUCACCUGGCUUGGUGUAUAUGGACAUGCUGUAAUGUUCAUGAACACGACGAAUCGAUUACGUACAUAAUUAUUGUAAGUUGCUGGUGCAUGAAGAAAUGAUAGAUCCAUACCAGCUGGAGAAGUCCUGCAGCCGCAAAGUUUGGUCAGGAGACCUCGCGUGACUUUACAGCCGAGAGUGUGGCAUAUAAUCAUAGUGCGCUAUUGCGCAGGCUGAUCUGGAGCUACGCUAGCCUCAUACGUCAUGAACGCAUUUUCGACAGACGCGGGUCAUAUAAUUCUAUUUAAAAAUGAUGUUUUUUUCAUCUAAUAAAUUUUACAUGAGCUAA